rnacentral:rRNA from 1 species
GGUGUAGACGGCUUUUUAAGUCGGUUGUCAAAUCUCCUGACUCAAUUAGGAGGAGCCAAUCGAUACUGAGAAGCUUGAGGACAGUCAGAAGAAAGUGGAAUUCCCGGUGUAGCGGUGAUAUGCGUAGAUAUCGGGAGGAAUACCAGUGGCGAAGGCGGCUUUCUAGGUUGUUCCUGACGUUGAUGCCCAAAAGCGUGGGGAGCGAAACGGAUUAGAUACCCGUGUAGUCCACGCCCUAAACUUUGGAUACUAGGUAUGGUGAGUAUCGACCCUCUUCGUGCCGAAGCUAACGCUUUAAGUAUCCGCCUGGGACUACGGCCGCAAGGCUAAA